rnacentral:piRNA from 1 species
CUGAGGAAGCAGGUGUCUU